AAGUUUAGGUUAAACCAACCAAGAGCCUUCAAAGCCCUAAACAAGAGUCUAACACACCCUCCUAACUUCU
rnacentral:tRNA from 1 species